rnacentral:rRNA from 1 species
CGGCGGACGGGUGAGUAACGCGUGGGUAACCUGCCUCAUACAGGGGGAUAACAGUUGGAAACGGCUGCUAAUACCGCAUAAGCGCACAGUACCGCAUGGUACGGUGUGAAAAACUCCGGUGGUGUGAGAUGGACCCGCGUCUGAUUAGCUAGUUGGCAGGGUAACGGCCUACCAAGGCGACGAUCAGUAGCCGACCUGAGAGGGUGACCGGCCACAUUGGGACUGAGACACGGCCCAA